rnacentral:rRNA from 1 species
UCCGUAGGCGGGCAAUUAAGUCAGAGGUGAAAUCCCACAGCUCAACUGUGGAACUGCCUUUGAUACUGGUUGUCUUGAGUUAUAGUGAAGUAGAUAGAAUAUGUAGUGUAGCGGUGAAAUGCAUAGAUAUUACACAGAAUACCGAUUGCGAAGGCAGUCUACUAACUAACAACUGACGCUAAUGGACGAAAGCGUGGGGAGCGAACAGGAUUAGAUACCCUGGUAGUCC